CAACUCUCAUUUUACAUUCAACUCUGGAGUAUGCGCAUUUAUAUAAACCUUGGUUCUUUCCCUUCGUCACUCACAAUCAAGAGAAAGUUCGCGUUUUUUCUCUGAAACUUAAUUUUAAAAAUGUCUGGACGUUCUGGUGGGAAAAAGAAGCCUUUAAAGGCCCCUAAAAAGGAUUCCAAAGAAUUAGAUCAUGAUGAUUUAGCAUUUAAGCAAAAGGAGAAAGAAAAAGAAAAAGCUUUAAAAGAUGCAAGGGCUAAAGCAACUCAGAAAGGCCCAAUGGGUGGAGGUGGCAUAAAGAAGUCUGGAAAACGGCAGUGAUUGGCUUCUACUGUUUUCAGCUACAGAUUCAUGAUUUUCAUUUGGAUAUAAAUAUUUUUAUUUUAAAUAAGUCUUCUGUUUUCAUUUUGAAUUUAGAAGCAUUUCUGACCAACUUUUCAACUUGAUGUCCUGAGUUAAACAUUAAAUUUUGGAAACCAUACUUCAACCUGUGGACCAUAAUUUCACUAAUUA